rfam:Human gut metagenome DNA, contig sequence: In-D_009491.
UGGUUUCAUCAGCCAUAGUAACAACGAAUCAUAGGAAGUCAGCAGAUGUCAUAGUAGCGAAGAAGUCCGGGAAACCGGAUGGAGCAAAGGAC